rnacentral:lncRNA from 1 species
GCCUUUCCUCCAUUGUGCAGCAGCACUCAAAGCUGGACCUACUCACUGAUCUGGAAAAGGAAAAGGCUGACCUUCAAAAUGAAGCUAGUCAUGAGCCUAUUCUUCAUCUCCUUUAUCCUGUGUGUCAGUUGUCAUGAAAACGAGGAACAGUUAAAUGAUAAACCAUAUAUAUUCUAUGACAUUUUGGGGGGAAUUGAUUACUGUGAACUACACAUGAGAUAUUGUGAAAAAUAUGUGGAAGAUCGAGCAAAUGAUGAAGGAUAUUCUAAUGAUGAUCCUGAGACAUCUACUUUUCGGAAGAAAAUGCUGGGGUUCUUUGAAGCAUAUUUUGUUGGGAAUGACAAAACUCGUUAGCAAAGCUGAUGGGUAUAUGGCAGCUAAAGUUCCUCAUGUAACUCACUCUUCACCCUGAGGCCUCAGAAUUCCUCCUUUCCCCCCUCCCUGCUCUACUAGAUGUACCUGCGAAAUCACUGAUGUAUGCAUGUCUUUGAGAAUCUAGUUUACGAUAUUAUAUAUUGAUUUCUUACCUUACAGAAACCAUAGUGUGUUUUAGUGAUGAAUUAAACAGACUACAUUGUGUCACUUUUCCCAUCAUUUCUUUUCAUUUUGUAUGUGGAAAUAUGGGCAAAAACCCCAGCUUGUUUUUACUCCUUCUAUAAAAGAGCAGCUAUUUCCCAAUAAACCUUUGCCUUGAAAGUCA